GGAAGACUUAAGAUGGCGGCGUUUGCACGGAGUGCAAUCACUGCGUCCUUACGGGGGUUGCAAGGCGUCCGAAGUAUGAGUCCACUAACAAAAGUCCAGAAACUCGCCAGUUAAUAGUAUUGUGGUGAGUGAUGAGCCUCACGUUGGCUAGAGAAGUGGCCGUUAGCGAGGCUACACACUUUGGGAUCGCGUGGCCUGAGUCGGGGGAGUAACCGGCCUGUAUUCCAUUUUUCUCUCUCCAGUCUCUUCAAAAUAUCGGAGAAUAAUUUCUUUCUCGCUGAUCGCCUAACUUCUACUGACGAAGCUUGGAAGUUGCAGAAGGUUGGAGUGCAAUGGCGCGAUCUCGGCUGACUGCAACCUCCACCUCCUGGAUUCAAGCUAUUCUCCUGCCUCAGCCUGCCGAGUAGCUGGGAUUACAGGCAUGUGCCACCGCACCCAGCUAAUUUUGUAUUUUUUAGUAGAGAUGGGGUUUCUCCAUGUUGGUCAGGCUGGUCUUGAACUCCUGACCUCAGGUGAUCCGCCCACCUCA
rnacentral:lncRNA from 1 species